GCUGGAGGCAACAGCAACAGGAGGCAGCUUUAGAGAGCCUCCUUCUCUUCUGUGAUCUAAGUCUCCAGUAGAAGAUUGACGAUUGAGGAGCUCAGCUGAAGAUUGUUCAUUUUUACUUGCUCAUGAUAUCAGAAAAACUAUCUUCCCCAAAUUUUGAGACAAUCAUGGAGAUUCAUUUGAGCUGCAGGCCUUCAGCACUCUGCACACUCACCUUAUAUGGGUCUUAUCCAAUCCACCUGUGGGCCAUUACAUUUACCAUUUAGCCUGGCCUUGAAUUUUACCUUUUCUUCAGCUUUCUUUUUGGUUUCUGCAUCCAUCCAAGUGAGGUCAUCUAAAGUCUGAAUGAAAACUUCCCGGAUCUGUGCAAUCAAAUCCUCAACCUCAAACCAAAAGAACAGAAGACAAAUUUAGAUAAACAAGAGCACACACCCAUCGGCAGAGGGACUUCAGGCUUGGAGACAGUAAGAAGCACUCUUGAUUGUCUAAUGGCUCUGUGAGGUACAAUUGGCUAACUGACUGAUGUUCUAAUCAGAAGCUGCUGCAAAGUUUUGUCUGAAACCUGCCUCUACCCAGGUAGUCCUCUGAAAGGCCAAUCAGAAGGCUUUGGAAGAUCCUAUAGAGCUUAACAGUACUGGACCAUUCCCUGGUCCUCAAGACACAACCCAUAAACUAUAAUUAAUCGGUUCAUUUUUUGAAUAAUGUAAUGUGCAAGGGAAUCGAAAAACUUAAAACUGACUUUUAAAAUGAAUCAUUAUGAAUUAAAUACCAAGA